GGUCUUUUCGCCUCUACAAUCAAGCUCUCCCAAUAAACGUGUGCAGAAGGAUCCUGUUGCAGCGUCGUUCUUCCUGGCCAGUCGAGCGCGCACAAGAAGUGGUGCCGAAAACCCGGGAAAAGAAACAUCUUCAGGCACGAGCGAAGACCCCCUGCUACAGGGAGGAUUCAGAACUGCAUCACGGGGAAGGAGCGGUUAAUAAAGGUUCCCAUAAAACAGACUGCUGAGAAGGAUCCAGUGUGGAUUCAGAACUCUUCAGCUGGGGAACGGUGGUAAUAAAGGUUCCUGUAAAACAGGCUGCUGAGAAGGAUUCAACAGCGUGAAUUCAGAACUCUUCAGCUGAGGAACGGCGGUACCGGUAAGUAGAAAGAAAUUAAUGUGAGUCUCUGAGAAGCAUGUUCUCAUAAGAAAUAGGAUCUCGGUAAAGAGAAAAAUAGGAUCUCCGGCUCUGGAGACAAGAAAGAGAGAAAGUGAAAGUAAGAGGAAAGUGAAAGUAAGAGGAUAAUAGGGACAGUCUAUGGGUUACUUUCUUUUUCUAGCCAUUGGAGUAAUUUUUCUGAGUCUUUUUUGUUGUUGUGGCGACUGUGUGGAACAUGAAAGACUAGGUAUGGGGUCGUCACAGUCACACCCAAUUUUUUCAGCGCUUGAUGAGCUGCUAAGAGCGAAGGGCGCAAAACUAUAUCUUUUGGGUCAUAUUCAACCUUCUGUAUCUCCAUGGAAUACCCAAAAUUUUGUUAUCAGAAAGAAAUCGGGCAAAUGGAGGUUGUUACAGGAUCUGCAAGCUAUUAAUGCACAGAUGCAGGUGAUGGGCUCCAUUCAGAGGGGUCUGUCUCUCUUAUCUGCUCUGCCAGAAAAGUGGCCUCUAAAAGAUUGUUUCUUUUCCAUUCCAUUAAAUAAGAAAGAUAAACCUAGAUUUGCAUUCACCUUGCCUUCUAUUAAUCAUAUGGAGCCUGAUAAAAGGUACUAAUGGUGGGUAUUACCUCAAGGAAUGGCAAAUAGCCCUACCAUAUGUCAGUUAUAUGUAGGAAAAGCCUUGCAACCAGUUAGGGAUGGUUUCCCCUCCUUAAAAAUUUGUCAUUAUAUGGACGAUAUUGUGAUUUGUGGACCUGAAGAAAGAAGUAUACAGCAAGCUUAUGGCUUGCUUAAUGAAACUUUAAAAAAUAAUGGCUUGAUUAUUGCACCAGAAAAAGUACAGCAGUCUGACGUUAGUCAUUUUUUAGGAGCCACUAUUACUUUACGAUGUGUCACCCCACAAAAGAUUAGUAUUAGAAAAGAUCAUCUAAAGACACUAAAUGAUUUUCAAAAAUUAUUAGGAGAUAUAAAUUGGAUUAGACCUUAAUACCCCUAUAAAGGGAGCCAUCGAUAUUUAUACAGAUGGAUCCAAAACAGGAAUUGGAAGUUAUGUAAUUAAUGAAAAGGCUGUAAGGUUGCAAUUCACACCAGGAGCCCCUCAAUUGGUAGAAUAUUUGGUGGUUUUAGAAGUUUUUAAAAGAUUUCCUAUGCCCAUAAAUAUUAUCUCUGAUUCUGUUUACGUAGUUAAUGCGGUUCUAGCAUUAGAGACUGCCGGAAAUUUUAAGCAGUCUAGUCCAGUAUCUGAAAUUUUGAUGAAAAUACAAAAUUGUAUUUUGAUGCGUGAGCAUCCCUUUUAUAUUCAACAUAUUAGAGCACAUACAUCAUUACCUGGACCUAUGGUUAAGGGAAAUGCAAUUGCUGAUUCAGCCACCAGAGACAUGGUUUUCCUAUCACAAAGUUCUAUAGAAAGUGCUAAGAAUUUUCAUCAGCUUUAUCAUGUCCCUGCUUCUACAUUACGACAAAAGUUUAAGCUCACACGAACAGAAGCCUGAAAUAUUGUCCUACAGUGUGGCAAAUGUGUAGAAUUUAUUAAUGCACCUUCCGUGGGUGUUAAUCCUCGCGGAUUGCGACCCCUAGAUGUUUGGCAAAUGGACGUCACACAUAUCCCAUCUUUUGGGAAAUUACAAUAUGUACAUGUAUCCAUCGAUACCAGUUCUGGUGUCCUACAUGCCUCUCCCUUGACAGGGGAAAAAGCAGUUCAUGUCAUAUCUCACUGCUUAGAGGCUUGGGCUGCAUGGGGCAAGCCCCUAGUGUUAAAGACAGAUAAUGGUCCUGCAUAUACUUCUUCUAAAUUUAGCCAAUUUUGCAAACAAAUGCAAGUGAAACAUAUUACUGGAUUACCCUAUAAUCCACAGGGCCAAGGCAUCAUUGAGAGAGACCAUCACACUCUGAAACAAUAUUUGCAAAAACAGAAAGGGGAAAUAGAGGCUAUGACGCCAAAGAUGGCUCUAUCCCUUGCAAUAUUUACUCUUAAUUUUUUAAAAUUGGAUGAUGCUGGAAAAUCACCAGCUGAAAGGCAUGGACAAUGGCCUCGAUCGCCCAAUGAAAUGGUCAAAUGGAAAAAUGUCCUUGAUAAUAAAUGGUAUGGCCCGGAUCCUAUCUUAAUCAGGUCCCGGGGAGCUAUUUGUGUUUUUCCACAGGGUGAAGAAAAUACACUUUGGGUUCCAAUGCGACUGACAAGGACCGUGAAAGAUCAAGAUGAAUCCCAAGAUGAUCCUGUUCCUGAUGAUUGAGACCGGGAUAAGUAUACCUUUGAGGGCCAUAGUAAGAUCAUGGCCAGUACCUUUACCGGUACAUUCCAAUUCUUCUACCUAGCCUUUGUUUUUUGCAAAGGAAUGUUUUUUGGAUGUGCCUUAUGCACGACAAACUCCUCAAGAACCAUGGGUGUAUAAGAAUACUAGUUUUCAUUUAAAUUAUACAUUAUGCUUUGUGCAUAAUGUGGAUAAACCUUUUACACCCUGUAAUUUUUUUUUUAAAGAAAAAGAUUAUCUCUAAUUGGGCAGAUCAAAUUAAUACUGCUGACACUAUAAGUCAGAUAGGAAAAACAAGACAAAACAAAACAAAAAC
rnacentral:lncRNA from 1 species